GAUGAACGCUGGCGGCGUGCCUAAUACAUGCAAGUCGAGCGAACGGACGAGAAGCUUGCUUCUCUGAUGUUAGCGGCGGACGGGUGAGUAACACGUGGAUAACCUACCUAUAAGACUGGGAUAACUUCGGGAAACCGGAGCUAAUACCGGAUAAUAUUUUGAACCGCAUGGUUCAAAAGUGAAAGACGGUCUUGCUGUCACUUAUAGAUGGAUCCGCGCUGCAUUAGCUAGUUGGUAAGGUAACGGCUUACCAAGGCAACGAUGCAUAGCCUACCUGAGAGGGUGAUCGGCCACACUGGAACUGAGACACGGUCCAGACUCCUACGGGAGGCAGCAGUAGGGAAUCUUCCGCAAUGGGCGAAAGCCUGACGGAGCAACGCCGCGUGAAUGAUGAAGGUCUUCGGAUCGUAAAACUCUGUUAUUAGGGAAGAACAUAUGUGUAAGUAACUGUGCACAUCUUGACGGUACCUAAUCAGAAAGCCACGGCUAACUACGUG
rnacentral:rRNA from 1 species